rnacentral:rRNA from 1 species
GACGUAGGGCGCGAGCGUUUGUCCGGAUUUAUUGGGCGUAAAGAGCUCGUAGGCGGCUUGUCGCGUCGACUGUGAAAACCCGCGGCUCAACUGUGGGCUUGCAGUCGAUACGGGCAGGCUGGAGUUCGGUAGGGGAGACUGGAAUUCCUGGUGUAGCGGUGAAAUGCGCAGAUAUCAGGAGGAACACCUGUGGUGUAGACGGCUUACUGGACCAUGACUGACGCUGAGGCACGAAAGCGUGGGGAGCAACAGG